ACUCAUCUUAUAGUAAGUUAAUAUAUAUUGCAUAACGUCUUUGAUGGAGAGGUGGAGACCUGAAACACAUACUUUUCACCUCCCAGUUGGUGAGUGCACGGUUACUUUGGAAGAUGUGGCACUACAACUGGUUUGAGGAUCGACGGCAAACCAAUCACAGGACCAAGUUUCUUUGACUGGGAUGAAUUGUGUUAUGAGUUGUUAGGUUUUGUACCUCCAAAAGGGGAAGCUCUAGUUGGCUCAACCAUAAAACUAAAAUGAUUAAGAGACCAUACAAUUGCACUACUAGAUGAACCCACUAAACAAUAAUUGCACCAACAUUAUAGGGCAUAUAUCUUAGGAUUGAUUGGUGGUGUCAUUAUGCUAGACAAGCCAGACAACAGACUUCACUUCAUGUAUUUACCACUGUUGGCUGACUUGGAACAUGCAGGACGAUAUAGUUGUGGUUUUGCUUGUUUGGCACAUUUGUACAGAGAAAUGUGUAGGGAAAUCUAUCCACCGUCAAAGAAAAUGGUGGAUGUUCUUUGCUUUUGUAGUCUUGGGCUUGGUAUCACAUGCCCUUUAUCCAACCAAGAGUCCAACGGGAUAUUACAUUUCCGCUAGCAUCAAGGUGGUUAGGAAGAGGGCUAAGAUUUACAGGCACGUCCCAUGGAGACUUACUUGGCUAUAGAUUAAGAUAUGACAACAUGAAUCAUAACGAGGGAAUUUUAGUCCUCACUGUCAACACGUGCUUAUAAGGAUUCUAUAAUAUGGACUUAUUGUACUGCUUUAACUUCAUUUGCAGUUGUAGUCUGGUAUCAAAGUGACAGAGUCUAAUUGUAAUUUGGCUUGUGGUAACCAAUCCCUAAUAAAGCUCAUAAUCUUGAUAAAAUGCACGAAAUAGACAUGAGAGGACAUAACGACACCACUAGGUUGAACAACAUGCAGACUGGAUUUCCAUUUAGAAAGAAAGAUGCAAACAUGUUAUUUUUUGGGAACCACUUCAAGGGCCUCUCCAACACACUCCUAAUUAUUUGCAAUGGUUUCGUGCUAAUUCAAAAUUAUUUCUUUGUAGUCAAUAUUCUUCAUCUCGUGCAUCCACUUCUAGUAUACAACUCCCAACAAUUAUAGGAUUUCAACAACAUUUUCCAACACCAUCACAAACCCUAGUAGUUGGAGAUAACCACCCACCUUAUAGUGUGGAAUAACAUCCCCAGUCUCUUUCAAUGAAUCCACAAUUUCAUAUGCACCAUGAACAAUUCAUGUACAUCCCACCAUCAACAACUCCAAUAGGGGACUUCAUGAGCAAUCUUUUCGGCGUCGACGUACACACGCUACAAAGUGCAUAUGAUUACAUGCAAAAAAUGAAUUUUCCUUCAUUUUCUUCUUAUCGCUCUGCGGUUAGUGGAAGUGCUUCGUCGAAUCCAGCCACUGAUACUGUUCAUAUAGAACAUGAUGAGGAACAAGUUGAAACUAGUGGGCAUAGGCAUCAUUAAAGUUGGAUUGUAAUUUGGUGGAUUGUAAUUGUGUUGUUGUUCUUAUUUAUUCGAUCU